rnacentral:misc_RNA from 1 species
GUGAAUGAUUUUGGGUAUUUUUCUUUAAAUACUCCAAGAUUCACCUUGUGUGCAUUGCAUUAAAUGUUAUACUUUGGUAGAGCUUUGAUUCUUUGUGUUAAUCUUGGAAUCAACUUCUAGUCAACUCCAUCCCUUUUUCUUAGGGACAGUUGCCUAUGAAGCGGCCUACCAAGGUUUUUUAUUAAACUCGUAUUUUUUUAUCUGACCAUUUUAUUACUAUAAUAAAAUCA